GUAACAAGGUCUCCGUUGGUGAACCAGCGGAGGGAUCAUUACAGAGUUGCAAAACUCCCUAAACCAUUGUGAACGUUACCUAAACCGUUGCUUCGGCGGGCGGCCCGGGUCCUUCCCGGCGCCCCUCGGCCCUCGCGGGCGCCCGCCGGAGGUAAACCAAACUAUUGCAUUGUAUGGCCUCUCUGAGUCUUCUGUACUGAAUAAGUCAAAACUUUCAACAACGGAUCUCUUGGUUCUGGCAUCGAUGAAGAACGCAGCGAAAUGCGAUAAGUAAUGUGAAUUGCAGAAUUCAGUGAAUCAUCGAAUCUUUGAACGCACAUUGCGCCCGCCAGUAUUCUGGCGGGCAUGCCUGUUCGAGCGUCAUUUCAACCAUCAAGCCCCGGGCUUGUGUUGGGGACCUGCGGCUGCCGCAGGCCCUGAAAUGCAGUGGCGGGCUCGCUGUCACUCCGAGCGUAGUAGUUACAUCUCGCUCUGGGCGUGCUGCGGGUUCCGGCCGUUAAAAGCCUUAUUUACCCAAGGUUGACCUCGGAUCAGGUAGGAAGACCCGCUGAACUUAAGCAUAUC
rnacentral:misc_RNA from 1 species